rnacentral:rRNA from 1 species
GACAGAGGGUGCAAACGUUGUUCGGAAUCACUGGGCGUAAAGCGCACGUAGGCGGAUGUGUCAGUCAGGGGUGAAAUCCCGGGGCUCAACCUCGGAACUGCCUUUGAUACAGCACGUCUCGAGUCCGGAAGAGGUGGGUGGAAUUCCUAGUGUAGAGGUGAAAUUCGUAGAUAUUAGGAAGAACACCGGUGGCGAAGGCGGCCCACUGGUCCGGUACUGACGCUGAGGUGCGAAAGCGUGGGGAGCAAACAGG